CAGCAGCCGCGGUAAUACGUAGGGUGCGAGCGUUAAUCGGAAUUACUGGGCGUAAAGCGUGCGCAGGCGGUUCGUUAAGACAGAUGUGAAAUCCCCGGGCUUAACCUGGGAACUGCAUUUGUGACUGGCGAGCUAGAGUAUGGCAGAGGGGGGUAGAAUUCCACGUGUAGCAGUGAAAUGCGUAGAGAUGUGGAGGAAUACCGAUGGCGAAGGCAGCCCCCUGGACAAAGACUGACGCUCAGGUGCGAAAGCGUGGGGAGCAAACAGGAUUAGAUACCCGAGUAGUCCCUGUCUCUUAUAC
rnacentral:rRNA from 1 species